ACACUGGACCCCGUACGAUCACCAAAGUUAAGAAGCGUGAAGCCUGGUUAGUAACUAGAAGGGUGACCGCUUGGGAAUACCUGGUGCUC